UGCAGUCAAUUAAAAGCUAAAGUCAAAAGUUUAAAAAUAAUUUUUAUUUCAAAAAUACUACACAUUAAAAACUUAGAACACCUAAUGCAAGUAAAUUAGAAAACUUCCUACAACUUGACCCUGGACCACCUGGCCUUUGGAUGAGGAUAGGGAGUAGAUGGAACCAGCCACUGAGGAGCAGCUGUGRGGAUCUGAAGCUGCUGCUUCUGGACAGUCACUUGGUUCUGGUCUGCAGGUUCUUUCAGCCGUCUGAUAGCAAAGCCACCAAAGUCUUCAGGGAUGGCAAAAACUGUAGAACCCUGGGCAGAAGCUCCCACAGGGCUGCUCCUGGGGAAAGCCAGGUUAUGGCUGGUUUUGUAGGUCUGCAACCAGCUUCUGGGUCUUGAACCUCCUUCCUGACCCACAGAUGGUUUCCAGGACUUUGUCAGAGGAGACAGCCUCCUGGGUUUAGGUCCACCAGACCUACGCUUUGAAGACACCCUCUURGCAGGACCACGAGCRAACGUUUGUAUCCGUACAGAGGGUCCACCUUGUUUUGGACCAACAGGACCAAACAGACCAGCAGAGGCACCCACUUGGCUUUGGGAAAAGGGGAUUUUAGCAGCAGCCCUGGAAGGUUCUUGUGCUGCAGACUGAGGAGAAACUGGUCUGAAGGAGUAGCUUUCCCUAGAAGCCAGAGAGCUGCUGGAUGGAUACUUGCUGGAACGCUGCAGUCCCUGCUGAACAGGCCAACUUCUCCUGCUGAGAGCAGAGGGGUUCUUCUGGUUCUGACUCACUGAAGGUCCACCAGCAACAG